rnacentral:rRNA from 1 species
GGACCCGCACAAGCGGUGGAGUAUGUGGCUUAAUUCGAUGCAACGCGAAGAACCUUACCUAGGCUUGACAUGCUUGUCGUACUCUCCCGAAAAGGAGAGGUCACUUCGGGUGGACAAUGCACAGGUGCUGCAUGGCCGUCGUCAGCUCGUGUCGUGAGAUGUUUGGUUAAGUCCAGCAACGAGCGCAACCCCUGUGAACUGUUGCCAGCGCGUAAAGGCGGGGACUCUGUUCAGACUGCCCAGAUCAACUGGGAGGAAGGUGGGGACGACGUCAGGUCAGUAUGGCCCUUACGCCUAGGGCUGCACACGUACUACAAUGCCCAGCACAAUGAGAACCGAGACCGCAAGGUGGAGGAAAUCUGCAAAACUGGGCCCAGUUCGGAUUGGAGGCUGCAACUCGCCUCCAUG